GCCGGUGUGGUUUAGUCGGUUAUAAUGUGUACCGUCGCCUUUCGGAGUUACAUUCGGAGACCUGCGUAGUGCAAGACCCAAGUUCGAUCCUUGGCGCCGGCC